rnacentral:rRNA from 1 species
GACGAACGCUGGCGGCGUGCUUAACACAUGCAAGUCGAACGGAAAGGCCUGCUUUCCCUUGUGGAUUGCGGGUACUCGAGUGGCGAACGGGUGAGUAACACGUGAGUGAUCUGCCCCCAACUUGGGUAUAAGCCUGGGAAACUGGGUCUAAUUCCCGAUAGGACUGCAGGGUGGUGCCUGUGGUGGAAAACGAUUUUCUAGUGGUUGGGGAUGAGCUCGCGGCCUAUCAGCUUGUUGGUGGGGUAAUGGCCUACCAAGGCGGCGACGGGUAGCCGGCCUGGGAGGGUGGACGGCCUCAUUGGGACUGAGAUACGGCCCAGACUCCUACGGGAGGCAGCAGUGGGGAAUAUUGCACAAUGGGCGGAAGCCUGAUGCAGCGACGCCGCGUGGGGGAUGACGGCCUUCGGGUUGUAAACUCCUUUCGACCGCGAGGAAGCCACCUGGUUGGAAGGGUGGUGACGGUAGUGGUAGAAGAAGCACCGGCUAACUACGUG